UACGGGGGGGGCAAGCGUUGUUCGGAAUUACUGGGCGUAAAGGGUUCGUAGGUGGCCGACUAAGUCAGACGUGAAAUCCCUCAGCUUAACUGGGGAACUGCGUCUGAUACUGAUUGGCUUGAGGACAGGAGAGGAACGCGGAAUUCCAGGUGUAGCGGUGAAAUGCGUAGAUAUCUGGAGGAACACCGGUGGCGAAGGCGGCGUUCUGGACUGUUUCUGACACUGAGGAACGAAAGCCAGGGGAGCAAACGGG
rnacentral:rRNA from 2 species